CAUCAUUAUGCCCAGUUGAAGUAUCAAUAUGGCAUGGACCAACCUAUUCCCUGAAUGAACCAAAUUGAUUUCAUUCAGGUAGCUCUGUGAAUUUAUGUUAAUUUAUUUCAAAUGAUGAGCUUAUAGUAGUAUGAUGUCUAAUUUAUAGCUAGGCAUUCACAGUAAUCAGUAUUCGUUGUAAGCUUCCACAAAACUUUGAAGCUAUCUGUUCAUGUUAUUUGAGCACAAACUGUUUUGAAGUUCAUCUGGUGACUGGUGCAUAGAAGUGAUGAUUCAGCACCAAUCUAGACAUCUACCUGGAAGAGCCUCUGACUGAGCUUUUCGCUGGUCAUAAACUAAUAAUUCUGUCUGAAAACUUACAGUAUGCUGUACGCAGUGCUUUCUUAUUUUUCUUUUUCAUCACAUUCUGAUAACGGCUGGAAUGGUUACCGAUUUUACUUUUCCAGUGCAUGCACUGUUGCUUAUAUUAACCUACUGCGCAGUAUGGUCAACAUGCUAAUCACGAUUCUUAAAAGUGUUGGAUCAUUGUUUUUCUUGGAUGAAAUUUGAGGUGUUGGGUAGUUGCCACAGCCUCAGCGGGCCAAAACAAGGGCAAAAAAGUUCUUAGUUACUUUUCUGAUAAGUUUUGUUAGUUGCUUUUUUGAUAAGUUAAAAAUAUAUUGCGGUCUAGUGGAUCUUACUAAGUUACUAGUGACUCAUGAAGCAAUACUCAUACCACACUUCAGUAGAGCUACUUUAUUCUUUAUCGUUUGCAUUUUCCCAGAAAGUUCUGAGUCUUGUCUUUGUGCUAAUCACACAUGGCUCAGAAGGCAGAACGCAGAACAGAUCAACUGGUCCAGUUUACAGAACUGUUCUGCUCCUAUCGGUGAAAAUAAUGAAGACAUGAAUCAAUUUUGACAUGUACUUGACUGUGGUAUAAAUAACUAUGGGUAAUAUUUGAAGAUAACCUCAAAGGAUGCUUCAAUUUGUUUGUGACUUGUUCUGAAUUCAUUAGAGGCAAAUCAUCUACAGUAGAAUGAGAUACCUUGGUAAUAAUGGACAAGAUGAGAUCUGUGUCACUUUGAAUAAGCGGGAAUGCUGGUUGGCAUGUCAGAGAAAUAGAAUAAUGAGAAUCAUAUGGUUUGCUUGGGAUGAUAAGCGAAAAAAGCUCUAAGGUUUCCCUUCCUGCAUCCUUCUAUCUGACACCACUAAGUACUAACUGUGCACUAAUCAGAAUUAUCUGUUUCUACAUCAGGUCACCAAGAAUAGCUGUAUUCCGAACAUGAACAAUAAAGAUAGUGAUGUAUUUAGUCUUAUAUGUAGCUAAGUAACCUUUGAUGUUUUCUGACCUUUUUCCUUAAAAAGGAUUCAAUAUCAACUGUUUGUUUAGGUUAGCUACCGAGGGGACUUGAAUUUUAUUAUGCUAGAAUGGCUUACACUAGCUGGUUUAGUUGUGCUCUUAGGCCUUCCCCUGAUGGCUGACAUGCAGUAGGUAUGUUAAUCUACCCUUUAGCUGAGCCUUAUAGUGUUGUAUUGGAUUCAUCCCACUGAUUUGCACGAAGCAUCUAGACCCAAGACCUAAGAGGCUAGUAUGUGACAAUUUAUUGCUUGAAUUUUCAUUGUAGAGAAUCUGAUUUACUGUCUGACAUAAAAUCUCUAAUUUGAUCCUACUCAUCUUUCAGCUCUGUUGUAUUGAAUUGACAAUAUAGUUGACUUUCCAGACCUUAUCUGCUGAUGUCAUGACCUCCUUUGGUUUCAUCAUGAAUGGCUACUCAGGGGAUUCUUUGACGUGAAGGGGGUCACCCCUACAUGGCUAAACCUAAUUUAUGGAUUAGUCUGGUAAGAAUAUUGUAUCUAUGUUCCAGAGUUUAUCUUUCUAAGUAAACACGGGACGUUAUACAUCUGUUUUACUCUCCUUAAGCACGACACACCUAAUUUCCAACCCUGAACAUGAUAUAUAUUUUUUGAACGGAAAAUUAUAGGGGAGGCUCGACAGUACAAAUUUAGUAAAACAAGUACCCAACUUUGUACUAAACCAGAGACAAGUAAUAUGGAUCGGAGGGAGUAGUAAUAUUUACAAGAGAGGGCUGUACAGGGGGAGGGGGAGAAGAACUGCUAAUCUGGUAAGCCUGCUCAUCCUUCAUUCUGUAAGAGAGAAGGAAAGGGUCUCUUUUAAUGAGAAAAGGCCAGGAGGCUAAACUAGGAGGAAUAUUAUGAAAAAAUUCUAGCAUUUCUUUGUUUCCAAAUGUUCCAAGCUGCUACAAGAAAGGCUUCUCUGGAGAGAGGUUUGCUGAGAGGAAGGAGCAAGGUAAAGAUUAAUUGAGGCCCAGCAGCCCCUGCUGAAGGAGCAGUUCCAGAAAAUAUGAUCACGAGUUUCAAGGGUCCUCGAGGAGAAGGGAAUGGCCAUGUUGAUGGGGUCGUCUUUCAAGCAUGUCUUGAGUAUUUAGUCUGUGUCAUUAAAGAGCAAACAGGCAAAAGCUUUGAGUUUGGCUGAGCAUUUGGAUUUCCACAUCCACGAGAAGAUGCUGUAUAUUUGGUGGCAUAAUAGCCAUUCCCCAAUUAGUCAGCUCUACAGCAGCUAUAUGAAUUACCCACAUAACCAUUGGUAAGAAGUAACUAACUUGGUUUAAAACAUAAAUCUAGUAUCUAUUCCCUGUCUGCCUGCCUGCCUGCCUGCCUGGAUUUGAUAGAAUCAACCAGGCACAGCAUGUUCCAUGGCCAUCGCCAGUGGUAACCAAUCAAUCACUAUGGUGGGAACCACAAACCUUGGUUCUUGUCUCUGACGUCACUGAUUGGUGCAUUUCUGUGAGGGCACUCACUAUGUGCAUCCCUCAGCCAUCUAUUAAAAGAGCUAACAUUCAGAAAGUUCGUUGGAUUGCUCCACUUGAUUGCGGCCAACGAUUAAAUCCCACUUUGGUGGAGCAGUGGAGCCCCACGAUUGGUGGUAGUGAUUUCCUUGCUGUCGUACUGGGAGCACCUGUCCACUGAUUAUACGUACUAGUUGAUUUUUUGGAAGAUUUUAAUGUAUAUCCAGGGAUGGUCCAGCUAGGACUCGAGAGUGCUAAUCUAGUAAUCUUACUUGGAAGUUGGAACUGAGAUCUGGUGAUCAUGUCAACUUUAAUAGCAUCGAGAUGGGAGAUGAUUUAAUUAGAUAGAGGACUUUCUAAUCUACACUCCAGGGUUGGGAAAUGCAACACUUCGGAUAAGCAUGAAGUAGUGGCUGAAUAGGAAGGCCACAUUGCUCUAGCUCCAUAUUCUUAAAGGCAUAGCUUUAGAGGUGGAGUGUGCUUCUUCAGCUUUUUGUAAAGGCUUAGGCUACCUUUAUAUUUUAUGGUAGAUUCAGCCCACAUGAUCAGUUCCUGAGUUUUAUAUUUGUUGGUAAAUAUCUCUUGCUGAAAGCACUGCUCGGCGAGGAAGGACCUAUUAUACGCGCUAUUGGAUAAAACUGAAAGGUCUAAUGUCAAUGGAAUUAUGGGACAGCUAGUGAAAAUCGAAUGACAAAUCAAAGAGAUAAUGAGGUAGGAUCUGCAUCUAGUGAAAAGAGAUAUGAAGUUUACGAGUAUAGAUGCCCUGGAAUUGGAUGUUGAUCAUAGCUUCUGAAGUGCCUUUUGUAAAUGCCCUCCUUUUUACAAUGUAGGUUUUAACAUUGUUCUCGUGAGUAAAUAACUGCUUUUGAUAACAGUGGGCCUGGGAGUGGAAUGGGAGUUUCUCUAGAGAGAGAAUGUAGAUGAAAUUGACAUGUAGCGAGGCAACAACGACCUCAUUGUGAAUCCCAGCAAUUGAGCACUCGACACAGUAAAGUUUAGUUUACUCUCAUUGUCCUUUCUCCAAUAAUGCAUUGUACGCUGGCCAAUUUAAAAUGCCACCUUGCAGAUUCUAGGUCCUUGCACUAUGAUUUACCUGGCAAAGCACCUGCAGACAUCAGCAUCCUCACGAGCAUAUAAGGCAACCCUUCCCUCUCCUCUUGUCCACAGCCCCUACCGACUAUGGAAGGCGCAUGGCUCGAGCAUCUACAUGGCUCUUGAGAGCGGAAGCAGGGUCGGGAUGAACCGCAAAGCUGAGCGCUUCAGCUUUGCGGUGCCUCUCCUGACCUCCCAGGUGGUCGCCUGAGGUACGCAAGAAUCGGCAAGUCACAAAACGGCAAUGGUGAACUCCGGCAGGAGUCCACCCCCCUUUUAUCCUUUUCUCUCCAUUCAGUUGUAUCAGGUGGAAGUCGAAUAAUCGGAAGUCUCUGUGUGUGAUGAAUCAAUGGAUGCUUCAAGUCCAUGUUUUGUUUUUCUCUUCCUUUAUUAUGUGUACUCUGGAAACACUACUAUAAAUGGCUGAUGUUCAUCUAGCAAAACCACUUUAUGGUGUCUUGUUUGA